UCCUGAAGACUCCUGGAGUGGACACAAGUUUUCUCUUGCCUUGACAGCUGGGCUACACCACACUCAGUGAGUUUACUUGUGAACUCUUCACUCCACCAAACCGAUGCCUUCAGAUUUCAGGAAGCAAGAUGUCAAUCAAAGAGAAUCCUAGCCAACCGUCCACAGUAUUCAGACCUCAUGUUAUCGAUCAAGCAAUUGCUCAAUUGUUCUAUCAAUUGCUACAACACCAGAGAGGCAAGUUCUGAAAGCUAGAAAAGCCUGGAUGUUUUUCAGCCCCAAAGUGGUCACAAGAUAUAAAAGCAGUCUCAGUGUGAAGGGCUUGUGUCUGGAAGGCAUCAUCCGGAGGCAGCAGGAGCUGUUGAGAAGUGGAGUUGAUCAAGAUGCAGAUGAAAGAGGAACCAACAUCUGUCCCAACACUGGGAGUAACUGGGACCAGCGGGACCAGGCACACAGGAACUCCACCAGCCCA